GGAAUUAUUGGGCGUAACGCGCGCGGAUUAGUUUUUAAGUCUGAUGUGAAAGCCCACGGCUCACCGUGGAGGGUCAUUGGAAACUGGAAAACUUGAGUGCGGAAGAGGAAAGUGGAAUUCCAUGUGUAGCGGUGAAAUGCGCAGAGAUAUGGAGGAACACCAGUGGCGAAGGCGACUUUCUGGUCUGUAACUGACGCUGAUGUGCGAAAGCGUGGGGAUCAAACAGGAUUAGAUACCCUGGUAGUCAAGGGCG
rnacentral:rRNA from 1 species